rnacentral:rRNA from 1 species
UGGGGGAUAUUGCACAAUGGGCGAAAGCCUGAUGCAGCGACGCCGCGUGGGGGAUGAAGGCUUUCGGGUUGUAAACCUCUUUCGCUAUCGAACAAGGCCCGCUUAGGGUGGGUAGAGGGUAGGUGGAGAAGAAGCGCCGGCUAACUACGUGCCAGCAGCCGCGGUAAUACGUAGGGCGCGAGCGUUGUCCGGAAUUAUUGGGCGUAAAGGGCUUGUAGGCGGCUUGUUGCGCCUGCUGUGAAAACGCGGGGCUUAACUUCGCGCGUGCAGUGGGUACGGGCAGGCUUGAGUGUGGUAGGGGUGACUGGAAUUCCAGGUGUAGCGGUGGAAUGCGCAGAUAUCUGGAGGAACACCGAUGGCGAAGGCAGGUCACUGGGCCAUUACUGACGCUGAGGAGCGAAAGCAUGGGUAGCGAACAGG